rnacentral:tRNA from 1 species
UAGCUUAGUUGGUAGAGUGCAAGGCUCUUAACCUUAAGGUUGUGGGUUCAAACCCUAC